ACCUCUGCAAUAGGCGAAAGCUUGACAGGGUUACUCUGAGUGAUUUCCGCUAAGGGAAUCUUUUGGCACCUCUAAAAAUGGUGCAGAAUAAGGGGUGGGCAAGUCUGGUGUCAGCCGCCGCGGUAAUACCAGCACCCCGAGUGGUCGGGACGAUUAUUGGGCCUAAAGCAUCCGUAGCCGGUCCUGCAAGUCUUCCGUUAAAUCCAGCUGCUCAACAGAUGGGCUGCGGGAGAUACUACAGGGCUAGGAGGCGGGAGAGGCAAGCGGUACUCAGUGGGUAGGGGUAAAAUCCGUUGAUCCAUUGAAGACCACCAGUGGCGAAGGCGGCUUGCCAGAAUGCGCUCGACGGUGAGGGAUGAAAGCUGGGGGAGCAAACCGGAUUAGAUACCCGGGUAGUCCCAGCUGUAAACGAUGCAGACUCGGUGAUGGACUAGCUUAAUGCUAGUCCAGUGCCGCAGGGAAGCCGUUAAGUCUGCCGCCUGGGUAGUACGGUCGCAAGACUGAAACUUAA
rnacentral:rRNA from 1 species